UUCCUUCUCUCGCAUAUUAACAGGUCUUGCUGAUAUUAAAAACCUAAGACCAUUCUCUCUGAUCUUCCUUCCCUGGCUCUGUCUCUCUGUGUCAUCAGAGCUUGAGUACCUGGAUCUCUAGCUAUCACGAUCCGCAAAAAUGCCUCUCAGACUUGAAAUAAAGAGGAAACUUGCUCAAAGAUCAGAAAGAGUAAAAUCUGUGGAUCUACAUCCAACUGAACCAUGGAUUCUAGUGAGUUUGUAUUCAGGGACUGUUUGUAUCUGGAACUACCAGUCACAGACCAUGGCGAAAUCUUUUGAGGUCACAGAGUUACCAGUUAGAUCAGCAAAGUUCGUUGCACGAAAGCAGUGGGUUGUUGCUGGAGCAGAUGACAUGUUUAUCCGUGUAUACAACUACAAUACAAUGGAUAAGAUUAAAGUGUUUGAGGCACAUACAGACUACAUUAGAUGUGUGGCUGUCCAUCCUACCCUUCCAUAUGUGCUGUCGUCAUCUGAUGAUAUGCUCAUAAAGCUUUGGGAUUGGGAGAAAGGUUGGGUCUGUACUCAGAUAUUUGAGGGACACUCUCAUUAUGUGAUGCAAGUGACAUUCAAUCCAAAAGACACAAAUACUUUUGCAAGUGCAUCCCUUGAUCGCACCAUAAAGAUUUGGAAUCUUGGCUCACCUGACCCAAAUUUUACACUGGACGCCCAUCAAAAAGGAGUAAAUUGUGUUGAUUACUUUACUGGUGGUGAUAAACCUUAUCUAAUCACAGGUUCUGAUGAUCACACUGCUAAGGUCUGGGACUAUCAAACCAAAAGUUGUGUCCAAACACUAGAAGGCCACACUCACAAUGUAUCUGCAGUAUGUUUUCAUCCUGAACUGCCUAUAAUUAUUACAGGUUCUGAGGAUGGGACAGUUCGUAUAUGGCAUUCCACAACUUACAGGCUUGAAAACACAUUGAAUUAUGGUCUUGAAAGAGUUUGGGCUGUUGGAUACAUGAAAGGCUCACGCCGUAUUGUGAUUGGUUACGAUGAAGGAACCAUUAUGGUCAAAAUUGGUCGAGAAGAACCUGUUGCUAGUAUGGAUAACAGUGGGAAGAUUAUAUGGGCCAAGCACAAUGAAAUUCAAACUGUGAACAUUAAGAGUGUGGGAGCAGAUUUUGAGGUUACUGAUGGAGAAAGAUUGCCUUUGGCUGUCAAGGAGUUGGGAACAUGUGAUCUUUAUCCACAAAGUUUAAAGCACAAUCCCAAUGGGAGAUUUGUUGUUGUCUGCGGAGAUGGUGAGUACAUCAUAUAUACAGCUUUGGCCUGGAGAAACAGAUCAUUCGGUUCAGCAUUGGAAUUUGCUUGGUCAUCGGAUGGAGAGUAUGCUGUUAGAGAAAGUACAUCAAAGAUAAAAAUUUUCAGUAAAAAUUUCCAGGAAAAGAAGAGCAUUCGACCAACAUUUUCUGCUGAGCGUAUUUUUGGAGGGACUUUAUUGGCGAUGUGUGCAAAUGACUUUAUAUGUUUUUAUGAUUGGUCUGAAUGCAGGUUGAUUAGGCGAAUUGAUGUUACUGUAAAAAACCUUUAUUGGGCUGAUAGUGGUGAUUUGGUGGCAAUUGCUAGUGAUACAUCAUUCUACAUUCUCAAAUACAACCGCGACCUAGUUUCAUCUUACUUGGAUAGUGGAAGACCCGUUGAUGAGCAAGGUGUUGAGGAUGCCUUUGAGCUUCUCCAUGAAACCAAUGAACGUGUCAGAACUGGCUUAUGGGUUGGGGAUUGCUUUAUCUAUAACAACUCUUCCUGGAGACUUAAUUAUUGCGUUGGAGGAGAGGUAACCACAAUGUAUCAUUUGGACCGCCCAAUGUACUUGUUGGGGUAUCUUGCUAAUCAGAGUCGGGUGUAUCUAAUAGACAAGGAAUUCAAUGUUAUGGGGUACACUCUACUACUUAGCUUAAUUGAGUACAAGACUCUAGUGAUGCGUGGAGACCUGGAAAGAGCCAAUGAACUUUUACCUUCAAUUCCUAAAGAGCAACAUAACAGUGUGGCUCGUUUCUUGGAAUCACGAGGUAUGGUAGAGAAUGCUCUUGAGGUAGCUACAGAUCCUGAUUACAAAUUUGAGCUAGCUAUACAGCUUGGCAGAUUGGAGAUUGCCAAGGAAAUUGCCACUGAAGUUCAGAGUGAGUCAAAGUGGAAGCAGUUGGGAGAAUUAGCUAUGUCUACCGGAAAGUUAGAAAUGGCUGAGGAAUGUAUGAAGCGGGCAACAGACUUGAGUGGGCUGUUGCUCUUGUAUUCUUCCUUAGGAGAUGCUGAAGGGAUUUCAAAACUUGCAUCUGUCGCAAAGGAGCAAGGAAAGAACAAUGUUGCCUUCCUUUGUUUGUUUAUGCUGGGCAAAUUGGAAGAUUGCCUCCAGCUUUUGGUGGAAAGCAAUCGUAUACCCGAGGCUGCUCUGAUGGCACGAUCCUAUCUUCCAAGCAAGGUUUCAGAGAUUGUAGCAAUUUGGAGAAAAGAUCUCAACAAGGUUAACCCAAAGGCUGCUGAAUCUUUGGCUGAUCCUGAUGAGUAUCCAAAUAUGUUUGAUGAUUGGCAAGUGGCUUUAUCUGUCGAAUCUAAAGUUACAGAGACGAGGGGUGUAUAUCCUCCUGCGGGGGAGUACAUAAACCAUGCUGAUAAAUCUCAAAUGACACUUGUUGAGGCUUUCAGAAACAUGCAAAUAGAAUCUCUUGAAAAUGGUGACUAUGAUCAUGAGGCUGCAGAACAAAAUGGAGAGGAACAGAUAGCAGAAGAACACAAUGGAGAAGAAGGGAGCCAAGAGGAGGCUGUUGUGGUGGAUGCUGAUUCUACUGAUGGUGCAGUACUUGUCAAUGGAAAUGAGGCUGAGGAAGAGUGGGGUACGAAUAAUGAAGGAACCCCGUCAGCCUAAAAGCAGUUGGUUGGGGCAGUGUGAAAAUCCAAAUUUUGUCUCUGGUGAUUAAUUGAUUCUACAGUGCCAUCUGUAAAUCACAUGCACAAAUUAUUUUUGCUACCAACCACAAACUGCUACUACCACCACCUAUUGUUAACAUCCAUUCUUUUCCCAUGUGCUACUGAUGGUAGCAUUGGUGUGGUGGCAGGCAUGUAUGCUGCCAAAACAAAUUACAAGUGUUAGUUAAUAGUCUGGAGUGCUUACACCACAUCACUAAGUCUUCUUUCAAAGACGAUGGUUCUAGCUGUAUUAGUAGGUGAGAAAAGCUUUUCUUAGAUAUGAUGGCUAGGUUUGAGUAGUGAAGAGCAGAAUUUGAAUUGGGCAUGAGUGCAUGCAACCACUCUGUAUUUGGUGGUAAAUACUGGAGAAAUUCAACAGGAAGUGAGACAUUACCGGAGGUUGGACAUUGUGACUGUCAUAUAAUUGGAAAUUUUGUAUACCAUUAGGUGUGUGACUUUGGAUGAUUAUGCCAUCUAUGGAGUAGCAUUUCAGCUCCAUUUGUAACUGAGGUGGUUAUUUUUAUUGUACAAUGAGCCAUAAGCAUCCACACUGACUUGGGUGCACACUAGAUAGAGUUGACAUUUAUAUUUUUUUUGUAGAGCAUUUCAAAGGUUGAUGGAAUUUAUUUGUUUAUUUUUGGUUGAUGUUCA